UCUUAAAAACUUCUCUAAAAUGAACAUUGUGUAGUUGUAUGUGCCCAUGUCAAAUGUUUCUUCACAUAAUACUCCAUAUAAGUAACCACACUACAGUAAAUCACACUUAGGUUUUAAAGUGGAUUCGCAUGUAAUCCUAAAAGUGUUCCUACCUUUCAAAAAAAUAAAAAGCAAUAUAAUAGCACAAUUUAUAUAUAAAUCUUAAAACCAGAAGUAUCUGAUUUGUGCCUACCCAUAAAUACAUGUUCUCUGUACAGUUUGCAUCCUUUCUCUGCUAGAAAAAUAUGAGCAGUGCUGAAACAGUCCUGCCUGAAGAAGUUUCUUUCUUUGAUCAUGAUGCCUUAGCAGCAGGCCUCCAUGUGUAUUGAUUCACAUGGCCUGGCUUUCCCCUACACAGAUGUAAGGGCUGUAAGACUGAGCCCUACAUAGAGGAGGGGCACUCACUCUCAUGUACUUUUCACUAGUAAAGCUGGCAGGGUCAGGCAGCUGGAUAGUACAGACUUGCUGGGAGAGGACGAGCAUUAGAAACUGAAGUGAUGAUAUAAGUUCUGAAUACCUGCAACCAUUGAAGCCAUAGAGUCAGAGUCCCUGGGCCAGAGCAUCCAGUCAGCUGAGUGUUGCAUUCCUGCAGCUGACAGGAUGAUACGGCUCUGGUUAUAUGUUGGGGGGGGGGGUGGAUUUUAAAGAGAGUGAGACAGAGAAUUAAGAGCCAUAAGAAAAAUAGGGUCUACAUUUUCCCUAGAAAAGGGACUUAUCCAGUAAGAUACAAUGUUCUCUCUCAACUCCCACUGAAUUCACAGGUACUGCCCAGUACUUUGCAGGAUGAGGCCAAGACCAUUCAAAAACAACACACACACACACACAUACCAAUGGACUAACAAUAACGGGAUUGUAAUAAAACAAAAAAAAAUCAUGGAGCUGUUUUGCAACCAUGUUCUCUUUGAAGGUGACCAGCUGCUGUCCCUUUGAGAGAGCCCUGGGACUUGCUCUCAGAUGGAUUACAAGUAGCACAUAGAACGUAGCUGUCUGUUCUUUCUGGCCUUUUCUGACAUUUUCUUUGCAGCCUAAGGCUUUCAAUUCUGAAUAUCAGCGUUGAGAUGCUUGUCACAACUGCCCUCGUGGAAAGUCCCUGGUGGGUACAGAAGGCAUCAGCAUUUAUCAAAAAAAUAUUUGAGCUCUUGCUUCAAAAUGCUGUAAUUCUACUGCUUGGGUGUUUUCUGAAUCCAUGUUUAAUUAAUGAACUCUCUCAAUAGGCUGUUCUUAAUAAGACAAAAAAAAAGUAAGUCAACUACAGCAUCUUUGGUCUGGUCUUGCAAUCAACAUGCCUGUGUAAAUGGAGCAAUUUCACCUUCAGAAACAGUGUCCUAGUACCAGCAUGUUCAAGCAGCUGACUCAACCUUGUGUGAAAGCAUCCAGCAGCCUGGCUUGUGGAAUACAUAGUCUGCCUCAAUGCCUCAAUGUUAUUUUGUUACUCCUGUGUAGCUGUUUUCGAUACUGGCAUCAGCUCAUUUCAGUUUUCAAACUGACAACUUCAAGUAUUUUUCUUUACUUGGUAUUUAAAAUUAGAUAAGGAAACAUAGUUUUCCAAGAUAAUUUAUUAUCUUUCAGUUUCAGAGCAUAUUUUCAGUAAUAGGUAAACAAAAGACCCUUUUUACAGUUUUUCAAUAUUAAUAUGAUAGGAAAAAAGGAUACAUUGUUUUCCCAUUAUAGAUGACAUUUUAGUAACAUUA